rnacentral:pre_miRNA from 12 species
GGUACUUGAAGAGUGGUUAUCCCUGCUGUGUUCGCUGUAUUUAUGACGAAUCAUACAGGGACAUCCAGUUUUUCAGUAUC